GACGAACGCUGGCGGCGUGCCUAAUACAUGCAAGUAGAACGCACAGUUUAUACCGUAGCUUGCUACACCAUAAACUGUGAGUUGCGAACGGGUGAGUAACGCGUAGGUAACCUGCCUGGUAGCGGGGAUAACUAUUGGAAACGAUAGCUAAUACCGCAUAAUAUUGAUUAUUGCAUGAUAAUUGAUUGAAAGAUGCUAUUGCAUCACUACCAGAUGGACCUGCGUUGUAUUAGCUAGUAGGUGAGGUAACGGCUCACCUAGGCGACGAUACAUAGCCGACCUGAGAGGGUGAUCGGCCACACUGGGACUGAGACACGGCCCAGACUCCUACGGGAGGCAGCAGUAGGGAAUCUUCGGCAAUGGACGAAAGUCUGACCGAGCAACGCCGCGUGAGUGAAGAAGGUUUUCGGAUCGUAAAGCUCUGUUGUAAGAGAAGAGCGGGUGUGAGAGUGGAAAGUUCACACUGUGACGGUAUCUUACCAGAAAGGGACGGCUAACUACGUG
rnacentral:rRNA from 1 species